GUCGGCCAGGGGCACACACGCAGGGACAGCUGGGCUGCCACAGCAUCUAUUGUCCCGGUCACCUGCAGGACCGGUACAGGCAGCACAACUUGUCUCUGUGUUGGCAUCCCCACCCCAAAGGGCAAUCAGCUGCAGAGUCAGACACUUAAAAUCAAUCAUUUACAUCUACGUGGCUAAAUAUCAGGAGAUAUCUCUGCUCUCUUUCUGGUUCAUGGAGGUCUGUCAACA